UAAGGAAUAUUGCUCAAUGGGAGAAAUCCUGAAGCAGCAACGCCGCGUGGAGGAUGAAGGGUCUAUGACUUGUAAACUCCUGUAAAGAAGGAAAAAAUUCCCAUUUGAUGGGAGAUGAUGGUACUUCUGGAGUAAGCCCCGGCUAACUACGUGCCAGCAGCCGCGGUAAUACGUAGGGGGCAAGCGUUGUCCGGAUUUCCUGGGUUUAAAGGGUGCGUAGGUGGGCUUAUAAGUCAGUGGUGAAAUCUCCGAGCUUAACUUGGAAACUUCCGUUGAUACUAGAGGUCUUGAAUUAUCUGGAGGUAAGCGGAAUAUGUCAUGUAGCGGUGAAAUGCUUAGAUAUGACAUAGAACACCAAUUGCGAAGGCAGCUUACUACAUAUAAAUUGACGCUGAGGCACGAAAGCGUGGGGA
rnacentral:rRNA from 1 species